rnacentral:lncRNA from 10 species
GCACCAGGUAGGGCCCCAGGGAGGAGACUGGGCUUGGUUCUGAUUUAACUCAUGAGAAAUACCAGGAAGUUCUGAGGAAGAUGAAAGAGGAAAAGGAGACGCUGCUUCUUGAAAAACAAAUAUCCAAAGCCCAGGAUGACUCCUCUCAAACAGUGAAACCGGGAUCAAUUUUGGCAGACACCACCCAAAGAAACAUGGCCAGUUUUUCCUAUUCCAAACCUGGGUUUUCCUCUAUCCCUUCCCUCUCCUAGCUUCUCUCUCUCUCUCUCUCUCUCUCUCUCUCUCUCUCUCUCUCUCUCUCUCCCUCCUCUUUAAUAAUCCUAUAAUUAGGAAAUAAUGAGGUUUAGUUCCUACCCCACACCAUGGAAGCUAGGAGGUGGCAGAGCCAGAAUUCAAACCCAGGCAUCCUGACUCCAGGGUCUCUGCUAUUCUGCCUCUCUGUGAACACACGAAAAGCCAUAGCUGUGAUUUUUCAUUGCUUCCCACAGGAGAGGACCACCAUUAAGAAACAGGAGAGAAGGUGUUGGUACAAGUAAGCGGAAGAAUCUUGCUUUUACCUAGCCUAGACCACAUUUCACUCUACACAUUACCUGAUAAGGGCCAAAAGAACAAGAAUAAACACAUCAUCCACUGAUCAGAAUACAUAAGGCAGCCCCAAAUUUCUCCCAACCAUUCUUACUUUUCUCAAUGCAGAAUUAUAACACCAGAGUUAAACAGCAGCUAUAAAUAGCUGGAGAAAUGUGUGGCUAUUUCUGAGAAAUUUGGGAUAAAGAUGUAGGUUGCAUUUAACUUUUAAUUUUCAUUCUUAUGAUCCUAGGUAUAGCACCUUUCCAUUUUUUCAAGUCCUGAGCUUGAUUACCUCUGUGAUAUUCCUUGUUGGGAAAAAAGUUCAGAGUGCAUUAAUUUUCUUAGUUAUCUUCAUGCUUAGAAAUUUUAGAAAAAAGAUCCUUAAACUCUCUGUGCCUUUGCUUUUUUAAUUUUUGAAACAAGAAUAUUGACCCUGAAGAGCUUCAAGUGGCACUUUAAUAAAAAGCCCCAUUCCCUACUUUCCCCUAUCAACUUUGCCUGAAGAAAGCAAUUCACCAGCCAUUUAUGACUGUGAGGUUUGCCUUUCACUGCUUGACCUCGGGCUGUCUUUUUUCUCAUGCAAAUAAUGAACAUCUCUUUGCAGGUAUUUCCAGUAUCUCACCUUCAUGGUCUUAGUCUUUAUUAGGUUGCUGGCUUAUGUGAUUUUCCACCUGCAGUACAUAAACCCAGAUCUUCUCGUGGAUGUCCUGCCCCUGGUGCUGAGCAGGGGCACCUUGGAGAGUCUGAGGAAGGUCUCACAUCCCUUCCUCACUCUAGCAGUGGAAGAAGCACUACCACACUAGUCUGGGGUGACCUGGGGGCAUCACCCCACACCUGAGUGGAGGUGACCGUGGCUGUGGCCCCAUGUUGGGGAUGGCCAGGAAGGAUGUGGAAGCCUUUGACUCAGAGCCGCUACUUGACAUCUGAGUUUUUCAUUUCAUUCUUUCCCUGCUUUCCCUCUGGAAUGUCUCUCUUUCAAAUAAAGAAUAUGUUUGACGAGA